GGAGAAUGGGCAGGCAAAAGGAGCAGGGACAAACCUCGGGAUUAUACGUUUUCCAGGGGAACAGGCUUGUGUGACGUGGAGAAUUGCUUCAGCACAGAGACUGCAAACCUGUUCAAUUAAAGGAAAUGCUCAGAUCCAGCUGUUGGAGUCCCAUGAAUGCCAGUACUCCUCACAGAGCAGCAGCUGAGCCCACAGGCUCUGUGCAAGAAAUUUUGCUGAAGAAAUCCCCUCUGCACGUGGCCAGCAGCCUGAAUCAGUCUUUUCUGGUGUAUGGUGAAAUAGUGGAAGACGUUUGAAGGAAAUUGCUACCAUGGGGUUUGGCUGUGAGGUAUGUACAGCACCCGUUGCAUCUGCUCCAUCUAUUUGUUGUUAAAGUGAUAUUAUAGACACAUUGCUAGUAACAGACUGAAGAAGCUGCUUUGGAAAUCAAAAAUAAGUAAUUCUAUCUGUCCGCAUGAUAUGAUGUAUAUAUGGUUUUCUUUCAGGUAAGUUAAAAUGCAAAAGCAGAGAACAGCUGUGGUCCAGCUGAUGAGGUGAUAUGAAUCAAGAGUUGGGACACUAAGCUGAAUGGGCUGAAAACAAACAUUUAAUGCCUCCCUGCACUGUUCCUAUGUGUUUGGGGCAACUGCAAACAGGGUAAACAGUAAAAAACAGCUCCAGAGCCCAAGCUUUACUGAGUUUUUGGCCCACUGACUAGUGCUGAUGCUUGCAAGACCUCUCCCACAGCAGGCUGGCAGACUGACCCUCCCUUAAAGUUAUAAACUCAGGUUUGCAAUGAGAAACAUCUCUAAAUAUUAAUAACCUUGCUUUGGAUUGAGGUCUUUUGCAGAUGUGCUUCCCUGAGGAAGAGCAGACAACUUGGAGCUCCCGUUGUAGCUCCAGGAGCUCCAGUUCUGUCCCACCCCAGCUGGACAUGUUCCUGCACCCUCAGCAUCUCUCCUGCUGCUGUGGAGGUGCCUGCAAGAGAGCAGUCUGCCAUACCUGCUCCUUCACUUACGGGGUUGUGUCUGAUGGGUGCUCUUGCAGUCACAGAAACCUGCUCCUGUUUGCAGGACUCUUGACAGGGCUUCAGCCCACACAGAGCCAGGGCUGUGCUGUGAGGGGGACUGGGACAUAGAAAACCCUUCCAGCCUUGAAAAACCAGCGGGACUGCAGGCAGAAUCCUGUUGCACACCAGCCAGACUGGCUGGCACCCCAACAGGGCACUUCAUCCCCAGACAGCUGCAGCUGGCCGUGACAACACCCAUGCUGGGCAGUGUUGGAACAGGCUGGAGGGCAGCUAUGGGGGGAAUGCAGUGGCACUCAGGGGUGCUGCUUCUUGCACUGCACAAACCACUCAUGCUGUAUGUGUGAGACACAAACCCCUUGCACAUGUCCCAAGUGCAUACCACACUGGAGACACAAAACACGCACCCCUACACUCCUAAAACACACAACACCUUCUGCUGCACAGCACUUACACACUGCAGACAUGGAAAGCAAAGUAGGUGUGUGCUGCAGACGUGGGGCACAAGCCACAUCAGCCACUGUUUUGGCAGGUAGAAGAAUUAUAAAAGAAAGGCCUACUCUAUUAAAUUAACAGCUAGCCUCUCAUCUCUUCUAAGUGUAGUUAAGCAAUUUGCAAGCCCCCAUUCGAAAACAAUCUUGGUAUGAAAGGUUUGUUAACACAACAGCCUAUUCUUGGGUUGAAAACUAACUGCAUCUGUGCAAACAAUAAGAUCUGUUCCAUGAAAACCCAAAAAGGUAAAUGUAAACAACCUGAAUCUUAGCACGUACACAAAAAAUAACCUUCUCACCAAAAAAAUGAAGUAGUAAGAAAACCACCAGCCAAUAGGCGUUGCACACCAGGUCUGUGAAAACUGUAUAAAAUAAGUUAUGUGAAUAAAGAAUUGGCUUUUGCCGCAUGAAGCAAUGGAGUCUCGGCUAACCUAUUAAAAUAUCUGCUGGCGAUCGCGGGAGGCGAGGGCCGAGCCUGUCGCGACAAAGGCCAAGCCGAGCCGGGACUCGAGAGACGGAAUACACAAAGCCGCGAACGAAUAGCCCGCAGCCAAAGGAAAUUCCACCACCGAAUACACAAAGUAGCGAAAGGCUCCAGCUCCGCUCCAGCCGGCCGCGGGACGGCACAAAACAUACAAAGACAAAAACCGGGCGGAGAGCGCGACCCGAGCGGGGAGCGCACAGAAACAAACACAGAAACAGCGCUCCCGGGAAGGGCCGCCCGGCGGGUAAGGGAGCAUGGGUGAAAAAUGCAGUGCGGCCACUGAGACGGGGGGAAACAGCGGUCUCAAACAUCCUGGUGAGUGUACGGGCAAGAAGCGGAGAUGUGGGAGACACGAUGUCGAAUCGUGGCAGAGCACGGCCUUGAGUCGGGAAGACAGCGGCCAAAAAGAGCAGUGAAAAAUGCGCUGUGGAAGAUCCGCGCCGCGGAGCCUAACACGCGUCAAAGACCGCACGCGUUUGGACGGGGCAGCGUCCAGACUGAGUUUAAAAAGGGAAAUCCUAGAUCACGAACUUCAGCUGACGAAAAAGCGAUAAUACGUGUGUGGGCACUUGUAUUGCGCAAACGGGAUAAAAAGAAAUAGCGAACUUUAUUUGGCGUAGAAAACAACGUGAGAGCAGAUGUACAAAAUGCCUUUUCUAUCGAAAGGUGGGACUAGUUGGGGCAGGUUUUGUAGGCAGCGGCCAUGGGGAAGAUAUGGUAGCCACAAAAUCGUUACCUACAUGGUAUUUUAUUAGAAAUUUGUUUUAAAAAUUGCAGUCUACUGAAGAGACCGCGGCUGCUGCGGCAACCCUCCUCCCAACAACCCCCCGCCCCGCGGGUUCCACAGACUUCUCGGUCAGUAUCUUCUGUCUGCAGGUCCGUUUCCGUACCCUCUACCCACGAACAAUUGAAAAGUUACCUUUUAAUUCCGUUUUUCAUGUUGAAAAUACUAUGAAAAAUGUUACAGCCACUUUGGAACUGCUUCCAAUCUAAGCCAUGUGAAUCUACGCCGGCCGCACAAAAAGCCAGGAGACGGAACCUGUUUGCGUGCGCCUCUGUAAAAUGGUUCCGGCGGGACACAGUGACUCCGGGAGGCGAUGGGCGAUGGGCGGUGGCCGCUCCCCGGGAAGCCGCGGUGUUGGGCCGUGCCCGCGGUGGUCGGGCCAGCUCCGUUCGGUGACCUCUGACCCUGUGCAUCAUAAUUUGAGAAGCAGCUGUGUACUCAGAGACCCAACACUCUGCUUGUUCCUGUCUGCUGGACACGGACCAUCUUGGGAUACCCCUCCCCUGUGACACAUGUACACAAAUGUAAUCGUGAACCACUGAAGAGAAAGUACACACUGGAUGUUUCAUUAAGAACACUCACUGCAGAACCCUUUUCCUCAAGUCAGGAUUCAGCAGAAGUGUGCGGCACGACUUCAAAUGGAGCCCAAGUUAACAUAUCUACUUAACUGUUAAGGGUGAAUAUUUUGAUCAGUCACAUGUGGCUCUACCAAAUGUUUCAAAGUUCUUCCUGCAUCAAGCUCUGGAAGAAAGAAAAGCUGCAGAAGCGUUGGUGAAGUAUCAGCAAGAAAGAGGGG